CAGGCUUAACACAUGCAAGUCGAGGGGCAGCAUGGUCUUAGCUUGCUAAGGCCGAUGGCGACCGGCGCACGGGUGAGUAACACGUAUCCAACCUGCCGUCUACUCUUGGACAGCCUUCUGAAAGGAAGAUUAAUACAAGAUGGCAUCAUGAGUCCGCAUGUUCACAUGAUUAAAGGUAUUCCGGUAGACGAUGGGGAUGCGUUCCAUUAGAUAGUAGGCGGGGUAACGGCCCACCUAGUCUUCGAUGGAUAGGGGUUCUGAGAGGAAGGUCCCCCACAUUGGAACUGAGACACGGUCCAAACUCCUACGGGAGGCAGCAGUGAGGAAUGUUGGUCAAUGGGCGAGAGCCUGAACCAGCCAAGUAGCGUGAAGGAUGACUGCCCUAUGGGUUGUAAACUUCUUUUAUAAAGGAAUAAAGUCGGGUAUGCAUACCCGUUUGCAUGUACUUUAUGAAUAAGGAUCGGCUAACUCCGUGCCAGCAGCCGCGGUAAUACGGAGGAUCCGAGCGUUAUCCGGAUUUAUUGGGUUUAAAGGGAGCGUAGAUGGAUGUUUAAGUCAGUUGUGAAAGUUUGCGGCUCAACCGUAAAAUUGCAGUUGAUACUGGAUAUCUUGAGUGCAGUUGAGGCAGGCGGAAUUCGUGGUGUAGCGGUGAAAUGCUUAGAUAUCACGAAGAACUCCGAUUGCGAAGGCAGCCUGCUAAGCUGCAACUGACAUUGAGGCUCGAAAGUGUGGGUAUCAAACAGGAUUAGAUACCCUGGUAGUCCACACGGUAAACGAUGAAUACUCGCUGUUUGCGAUAUACAGCAAGCGGCCAAGCGAAAGCGUUAAGUAUUCCACCUGGGGAGUACGCCGGCAACGGUGAAACUCAAAGGAAUUGACGGGGGCCCGCACAAGCGGAGGAACAUGUGGUUUAAUUCGAUGAUACGCGAGGAACCUUACCCGGGCUUAAAUUGCAGAUGAAUUACGGUGAAAGCCGUAAGCCGCAAGGCAUCUGUGAAGGUGCUGCAUGGUUGUCGUCAGCUCGUGCCGUGAGGUGUCGGCUUAAGUGCCAUAACGAGCGCAACCCUUGUUGUCAGUUACUAACAGGUCAUGCUGAGGACUCUGACAAGACUGCCAUCGUAAGAUGUGAGGAAGGUGGGGAUGACGUCAAAUCAGCACGGCCCUUACGUCCGGGGCUACACACGUGUUACAAUGGGGGGUACAGAGGGCCGCUACCACGCGAGUGGAUGCCAAUCCCCAAAACCUCUCUCAGUUCGGACUGGAGUCUGCAACCCGACUCCACGAAGCUGGAUUCGCUAGUAAUCGCGCAUCAGCCACGGCGCGGUGAAUACGUUCCCGGGCCUUGUACACACCGCCCGUCAAGCCAUGGGAGCCGGGGGUACCUGAAGUGCGUAACCGCGAGGAGCGCCCUAGGGUAAAACUGGUGACUGGGGCUA
rnacentral:rRNA from 1 species